rnacentral:lncRNA from 1 species
AAUCUAAAAAGAGGCUAAAUCAAAUUGAACACGAAAGGGGAAGGACCAAAGAAACAAAUAUCCCCGCUAUAGUAGAAAACGCAGGUUUGGUCGGGUUCUGGGUCAGGUCACACGGGUUAUUGGGUUACAUUAAAAUGGCGCCGUUUUUCAAACCAGAUAAAAUCCCCUUUUUCAAACCCUAAAUGAAAACCCUAUUCAAUUUGCAACCACAACAGCCGCAAGGUCCAACCCCUUCUCCUGCUCCUCACGCCGAAGUCAGCAAGAAUGCCGACGGCGCGCCUCUGCCGGUAAGAAACUUCUCCUUUUCCCUUGUUAUUUCGUUUAUUUGUUUUUAAAAACAAGGAAGAAAAUAAAAAAGGAACAAAACAGUAAAGAGAAAGGAAAAACGGAACCAAUCUCAAUACCUUCAAAACUUUUUUUUUAUUCUCUGUUUUUGCUUUCUUCAAUCUUUUGAUACAAAGAAUUUUUUCCUCUCUUUCGUAUCUUCCCCCCCUUGAUACAGAUUUUCAUCGGCUUUAUAUAGCCGAUUAACACCAAAAAUCUGAAAAAAAAAAAUCAAAAACCCCACUUCUUUCCAUUAUUUGCUGCGCUUGUGUCCCCCUUUUUCACAGGUUUGGUGACCGUGGAGUGCGCGCGACGAGCGCGGAGCGACAAGCGCGGCGUGUGGGCGCUGUUGCGGCGUGCGUGUGGGAGCUGCUGCGCCUAGGGUUCCUGCUGGUGUUUUGGGCUAGCAAGCUUGGUUUAGUAACUUGGGCCAUUGGGUUUCAAUUAUUGGGUUUUAGUUUACAUUUGUUUUUUUAUUUGUAUAUGGGCUGCGUUUAGUAGGUUGGGUCUGAUGUAUAUUUAUUUGGGCCGGGCAUAUUUGGGCUUAUACAGGUUGAAUUUUAUAAUUAAAAAACUACUAUUACCACUCAACAGCAAAAUAAUAAAUUAAAGAAAUAAUCCAAUUGACAAGAUCAAUUGCCGAACAUCAUACGAAGGAACGUUCAAACAUGAACAAAUAAAAAUCAAGGAUGAAAAAUUUGUGUUUUCUAUUAAUAUUGUGGGUCUAAAACGAGAUGUCAAGUCCUUUUUCAAUAGCAUGUAAUGUAAGUGAUUAAUAUUGACACUAAUGUUUGAAUGAAGCAACCCUUUGAAAUUGUAAUUUCAUUGGAAUUUGGAAUUGUUUCACGAUUUAAUGUUUGUAUUGAUGCUCUUUAAAAAAGUUUUGGUGAAUCAUCA